GAUGAACGCUGGCGGCGUGCCUAAUACAUGCAAGUCGAGCGAACAGACGAGGAGCUUGCUCCUCCGACGUUAGCGGCGGACGGGUGAGUAACACGUGGAUAACCUACCUAUAAGACUGGGAUAACUUCGGGAAACCGGAGCUAAUACCGGAUAAUAUAUUGAACCGCAUGGUUCAAUAGUGAAAGACGGUUUUGCUGUCACUUAUAGAUGGAUCCGCGCCGCAUUAGCUAGUUGGUAAGGUAACGGCUUACCAAGGCGACGAUGCGUAGCCGACCUGAGAGGGUGAUCGGCCACACUGGAACUGAGACACGGUCCAGACUCCUACGGGAGGCAGCAGUAGGGAAUCUUCCGCAAUGGGCGAAAGCCUGACGGAGCAACGCCGCGUGAGUGAUGAAGGUCUUCGGAUCGUAAAACUCUGUUAUUAGGGAAGAACAAAUGUGUAAGUAACUAUGCACGUCUUGACGGUACCUAAGCAGAAAGCCACGGCUAACUACGU
rnacentral:rRNA from 1 species